AUUGAACGCUGGCGGCAUGCUUUACACAUGCAAGUCGAACGGCAGCGCGGGCUUCGGCCUGGCGGCGAGUGGCGAACGGGUGAAUAAUGCAUCGGAACGUGCCCAGUAGUGGGGGAUAGCCCGGCGAAAGCCGGAUUAAUACCGCAUACGACCUGAGGGUGAAAGCGGGGGACCGAAAGGCCUCGCGCUAUUGGAGCGGCCGAUGUCGGAUUAGCUAGUUGGUGGGGUAAAGGCUUACCAAGGCGACGAUCCGUAGCUGGUCUGAGAGGACGACCAGCCACACUGGGACUGAGACACGGCCCAGACUCCUACGGGAGGCAGCAGUGGGGAAUUUUGGACAAUGGGGGCAACCCUGAUCCAGCCAUGCCGCGUGCGGGAAGAAGGCCUUCGGGUUGUAAACCGCUUUUGUUCGGGAAGAAAUCCUCUGGGCUAAUACCCCGGGGGGAUGACGGUACCGGAAGAAUAAGCACCGGCUAACUACGU
rnacentral:rRNA from 1 species